rnacentral:rRNA from 1 species
AGUGAACGCUGGCGGUAGGCCUAACACAUGCAAGUCGAACGACAGCACAGUAAGAGCUUGCUCUUACGGGUGGCGAGUGGCGGACGGGUGAGGAAUACAUCGGAAUCUACUUUUUCGUGGGGGAUAACGUAGGGAAACUUACGCUAAUACAGCAUACGACCUACGGGUGAAAGCAGGGGAUCUUCGGACCUUGCGCGAUUGAAUGAGCCGCUGUCGGAUUAGCUAGUUGGCGGGGUAAAGGCCCACCAAGGCGACGAUACGUAGCUGGUCUGAGAGGAUGAUCAGCCACACUGGAACUGGGACACGGUCCAGACUCCUACGGGAGGCAGCAGUGGGGAAUAUUGGGCAAUGGGCGCAAGCCUGAUCCAGCCAGACCGCGUGGGUGAAGAAGGCCUUCGGGUUGUAAAGCCCUUUUGUUGGGAAAGAAAAGCAGCAGGUUAAGACCCCGCGGUUCUGACGGUACCCAAAGAAUAAGCGCCGGCUAACUUCGUG